rnacentral:rRNA from 1 species
AUUGAACGCUGGCGGCAUGCCUUACACAUGCAAGUCGAACGGUAACGGGCCUUCGGGUGCCGACGAGUGGCGCACGGGUGCGUAAUACAUCGGAACGUGCCCGAUCGUGGGGGAUAACGAGGCGAAAGCUUUGCUAAUACCGCAUACGAUCUACGGAUGAAAGCAGGGGACCGCAAGGCCUUGCGCGGACGGAGCGGCCGAUGGCAGAUUAGGUAGUGGGUAGGAUAAAAGCUUACCAAGCCGACGAUCUGUAGCCGGUCUGAGAGAAUGAUCAGCCACAAUGGGAGUGAGACACGGACCAGACGCCUACGGGAGGCAGCAGUAGGGAAUCUGCCGCAACGGGCGAAGGCCUGACAGCGCAAGGCCGCGGGAGUGAUGAAGGUCUUGGGAUCGUAAAAAUCUGUUAGGAGGAAAGAAAAUAUGUGUAAGUAACAGGGCACAUCUUGACGAUACAUAAUCAGAAAGCCCGGGCUAACUACGUG